GGGAAUGACAGGGACCACACUCACUGC
rnacentral:piRNA from 1 species